rnacentral:miRNA from 2 species
UCACAACCUGCUUGAAUGAGGAG